rnacentral:lncRNA from 7 species
GUCGGCAACAGUUUACUUCAUAUCAUCAACCAUGCCCAAGUCAUAUUUUCUCAGGGAAAACAAAAAAAAGGUUUUAAUUGUGCUACAAGCAAGUCUCCCAUGCGUGAAUGCAUAGCAACAAGUUUACAGAGUAUACUAUCCAGGGUACUAACAUAUUUAUCAAAAUGUUGAUGACUGUAUCUCGUGCUUCAUUAUUGAAGUUAGGGGAGCUCUGUUAAAUAUGUAAGAUCUGCAAUUUUGUUCUGCAUAAAAAGGAUUCGGAUUUCUCAGUUAUAUACUUAUUUUCUUCGUUUACAGAUCAUCA